AUGUCUCUUUGGAUGAAAGAUAUAAGGAGUCUGGCCUGCCCGGUGAUGGAGUUUAACGGCUGCAGUAUCCUGACUGUGCAAAGGUAGCAUAAUAAUUUGCCUUUUAAUUGGAGGAUGGAAUCAAUGGCUUGACGAGAGCAAAACUGUCUUUUCUGUUUUUACUAGAAAUUAUCUUUUAGGUUAAAAGGCUUAAAUAUAACUAAAAGACGAUAAGACCCUGUUGAGCUUUAAAAAAAUGAAGUGAUUAUUUAAUAUUUAUUAAAUUAGUAGCGUGCUUAGUAUUUUGGUUGGGGCGACUGCGGAGUAUACAAAACCUCCGUUUUAUAAAAUUAAUUUCUGUUUUUGAUCCACAGUUUAUGAUAAGAGAAAUUAGUUACCAUAGGGAUAACAGCGCACCGCUCUUAGGGAGAUCAUAUUUCUAAGAGAGAUUGUGACCUCGAUGUUGGAUUAAGAUAUACUAGAAGGUGCAGGCGCUUUUUAAGUUAGUCUGUUCGACUAUUAAAUUCUU
rnacentral:rRNA from 1 species